CCUACGGGCGGCAGCAGUCGAGAAUCAUUCACAAUGGGGGAAACCCUGAUGGUGCGACGCCGCGUGGGGGAAUGAAGGUCUUCGGAUUGUAAACCCCUGUCAUGUGGGGGCAAAUUAAAAAGAUAGUACCACAAGAGGAAGAGACGGCUAACUCUGUGCCAGCAGCCGCGGUAAUACAGAGGUCUCAAGCGUUGUUCGGAAUCACUGGGCGUAAGGCGUGCGUAGGCUGUUUCGUAAGUCGUGUGUGAAAGGCGCGGGCUCAACCCGCGGACGGCACAUGAUACUGCGAGACUAGAGUAAUGGAGGGGGAACCGGAAUUCUCGGUGUAGCAGUGAAAUGCGUAGAUAUCGAGAGGAACACUCGUGGCGAAGGCGGGUUCCUGGACAUUAACUGACGCUGAGGCACGAAGGCCAGGGGAGCGAAAGGGAUUAGAUACCCCAGUAGUC
rnacentral:rRNA from 1 species